rnacentral:sRNA from 1 species
GUCCCUGAGAUUGCUAUGGGGCUGCCACCCAUCGCGAGAAGUCUCCGUUAGGGCCGUGUCAACUGUAGCCAGUGGCUGCGGCUCCCUCAGUCUGGCGUCACCUAGGGCGCUGCUCAGGGGAUUGCGGAGGCCGGUUUUCCAGUAGGCUUACGUGUUUACCGCGUAGGGCAAAGCCUUGCCAAAUUCCAGGCCAAAGGAGCGGCGAGGGUGGGGACUCACGGGAAGUUAAACAGCCUCGUCGGCGUCCUCGCGGCUCCAAAACCGGGCUCUAGGCGGCGGCGACCGCAGCCGUUAUGGAGGCCACCGCGGCUACGGCCGCAACUGAGGCCGCCCCAGGUGGAGCGAAGGCCUGGAGGGGAAUCUUGAUCCUGGGCCAGCCACCUGUCAAGAGGAGGCGGAGCGUCGUGCCUCUGGAAGACUGGAUGAAUAUUCUCCAGGAGCCUGACGAAGGCGGCCAUGCUGGAUAAGGAACUGGCUGCCUCUGUGAACAUCCUACUCAAGGCAUCUUCACUGCUGUACAUCCUUUUGAAAUCCCAGAGGUCUUCAGUCUCCCUGUGGAUUAAGGAGAUGUGCAGUAUUUAAAGUAGCUUCAGGAAGGCAUGGAAGAGGACUGAGUGCGGAAAGCUUUUUGUGCAUGCUGCUGGCCACCUCCAGCGGCUGCCUCCAGCCUCCAUCAGCUGCACUCUGGGGAAGAGGAGGCUGCCUUCUACCUCUC